AAGAUUUUAAGUUAAUUAAACUAAAAAUUUUCAAAAUUUUAAAUAAAGUUUUAUCUUUAAAUCUUA
rnacentral:tRNA from 1 species